rnacentral:rRNA from 1 species
GACGAAUGCUGGCGGCGUGCCUAAUACAUGCAAGUUGAGCGAUGAAGAUUGGUGCUUGCACCAAUUUGAAGAGCAGCGAACGGGUGAGUAACGCGUGGGGAAUCUGCCUUUGAGCGGGGGACAACAUUUGGAAACGAAUGCUAAUACCGCAUAACAACUUUAAACAUAAGUUUUAAGUUUGAAAGAUGCAAUUGCAUCACUCAAAGAUGAUCCCGCGUUGUAUUAGCUAGUUGGUGAGGUAAAGGCUCACCAAGGCGAUGAUACAUAGCCGACCUGAGAGGGUGAUCGACCACAUUGGGACUGAGACACGGCCCAAAGUCCUACGGGAGGCAGCAGUAGGGAAUCUUCGGCAAUGGACGAAAGUCUGACCGAGCAACGCCGCGUGAGUGAAGAAGGUUUUCGGAUCGUAAAACUCUGUUGGUAGAGAAGAACGUUGGUGAGAGUGGAAAGCUCAUCAAGUGACGGUAACUACCCAGAAAGGGACGGCUAACUACGUGCCAGCCGCCGCAGUAA